UACGUAGGGGGCAAGCGUUGUCCGGAUUUAUUGGGCGUAAAGAGCGUGUAGGCGGCCAUGUAGGUCCGUUGUGAAAACUCGAGGCUCAACCUCGAGACGCCGAUGGAAACCAUGUGGCUAGAGUCCGGAAGAGGAGAGUGGAAUUCCUGGUGUAGCGGUGAAAUGCGUAGAUAUCUGAAGGAACAUCAGUGGCGAAAGCGACUUCCUGGACCAAUACUGACGCUCAUGUGCGAAAGCGUGGGGAGCAAACAGG
rnacentral:rRNA from 1 species